CGCCUUCUUCUUCCUCUUACUUUUUCUUCUUCAUUUCCAUUUUUUCUUGUUUCUCCUUCUUCCUGCUCCUCUUCUUUGUUUUCUUCUUUCGCCUCUUCUUCCUCAUUUCCUUUCUUUCUUCAUUUACUUCUUUUCUUUGUUUCAUUUUUCUUCUUCUCUAGAGCAGCCGUUGUCCGCCUGUUCCGUUCAUGGUCGCCGAUUAAUGUCGGAGAUGAAAACCGAAGACACCAUUGUCACCGAUAGGAGCUUUCCGGCGAAAGAAAGAAGGAUAAGUUGUUCUUACCAUGUUCUUGAUUUUGUUUCCUUUUGUGUUCUGCUUCCUUGGAGUAGCAACAAAUUCUUUGUUGAUAUCUAGUUACAAAUCUCUUGUUUUGAAAAUUAUUUAAUUAUAUGUUGUGUUGCUACUUUGGGUUAUUCUGAUUUUGUGCAAAAAAUAUGUUAUAGGUUAAAAUUGAAAAUUGAAAAAAUUCUAUUAGUUGAGCUGAAUUCCAAGAUCCAAUCACACUUAUAUGGGUGUGUGAUGUGGGAUAUUUGUGGAGAAAACUCUGAGAUGAGGAUUGUGUAUGACAAUCUAAGCAUUAACAUUUGAGUCACUUCUAGGAGAAUAAUAUUAAACACUGCAGAAAUGUAGUUGGUCCCGUAAGUAACAUAUACUUGCAUUAUAAUUUUCUGCGAUUGAUUUGUGUAUGUAAAUGUAUGGAAUAAAAGAUUCAUUGGAGUUGUGCCGAUCUCACCAUGCCUCACCUUGAAGUCUUCACUACCUCUAAAUGGAAGUAUUUAUCCUUGCUAAUAUUAUAAUAUGAUACCAUGUUUUUUCAAAUAAUGUAUCUUAUAUUAAUAAAUCACUGCGGGACUAGAUUAUUGCAGGCGAAUCUUUUAUAGCCACUUAAAGACAUUGAAACCAUAAAUGCCAACAAAAUUGUACUACACCUCGGAGAAUUGCUCUUAUGAACGAUCUGAUGUUUUAAAUAGUUAAGUUGCUAUUGUUAGUUGUUAGAAUGCAUUUGUAAUUAUGUUAGGAUUUUCUGUACUUGAGUAUGCUUUAGUUUCUACCGUCAUUAGCUAAAUAGAGUUGAAUUGGAUAACAUGCUCUGGCACAAUUGUUCAUCUUAUCAGUUUAGUUUUAAAUUUUUUGUUGAUAUACAAUAAUGGUUGCAUUAAUCCUUGGUGAAAGUUAAUUGGACGAUGAGUUGAUGAGCAAUGAACAAGUUUUUUUUGACUUGUCUCAGGCUCUUCGGAAGUUCCCAAAAGAAACUAGUGAGUGUUGAAUAUAAAUAAUGGGGAAAAGACUUUCUAUGUCCCCCAUGAUUCACACUGAUAAAGUACUCUUGACACUUCUGCUUUAAGCAAAAGAAAGUUACUAAUGGAGUCUUGGCCCUUGAUAAUUCCAGAAAGAGACGAAUCUUGAUAAAACUGCCUUAGAUGUUUUACCAUUAUUUUCAAAGCUCAUCCUCAGUGUCAACCGCAAUUGUUCAAAGGCAAAAAAAUAUGCAAGUAUGAGGAUUUAGUAGAUCAGCCCCUCCCCUCAGCCCCCUCCAAAAUUCAGCACCACAAAAAAAUCUGCAAUCAAGGAAGUUUUUCUUGGCUUUGAAUGUUGAUAAUAUAUAAGUUUGCUUCUUGAUUGUUUGUUUGUACAUGUCUUGAUUGUUGUAGGUUAGAUUAGAUUGGUUUAGGUUGUUUAAUUUCUGUCUAGUUCCUUAACCUUGUUGUUGCAGUAGGAUAAUUUGUGUUGUUCUGUUUCUUGGAUUUCCUUGGCUAAGAUGGACUACUCCUUUAAUUAACUUAGAUUGGUAUGGUUGUAAAUCUAAUUUAGUUUUGUGUUUAUUUAGUUGUUUAGGUGUAGAACUUGUUAAUUAAGCUUGGAUUCAAUUUUAGUCGAUGUUUAUUAUAAUUGUUAUUUACUAGUAGGUUUGCACUUCAUUGUGAAGUUCUAAUGAAUCAGAGAUUAUCAUCAGCACUGAAUAGAAGGUGGGAGUCAUGUCCACACUUAUGGAAGCGUUUUUCGUGAUUUUAUCAUUUUCAAAUCAUUAUUCCUUUGCUCGGAUAAUUUAUCCUUACGAACAACCUGAAGAUUAUUUCUAUUGCUGAUGAUGAAUUUCUUAGUAGCUUUUAGCUCUGAAUGAGGUUGAGAAUCUAGAGGAUCUGUUUGAUGGUAUUAUAUAAAAAUCGAGAUUCUCCAUUUGUUUGACUAUGUGUGAAGCCAAAUGAAGAUAUCAAACUGCACUGAUGCUUUUUGAGAUACAACAUUGUUGUAGCAAGUGAAGCAUUUUUUUAUCAUUCAUUUUGAUUAAUGUGUUGCAGAGUAGCAUAUUCAGGGUCAGCCUAUUUUAUUAGUGCUUUUCGAGUUUAUUUGUUACUAUACUUGUAUUUAAGAUAGAGUCCCUUGGUCAAGCUAAACCGUAAGUUUUAUUUUAUUAUAUUCAUCCAUAAUGUUUACAGAGGCAGACCUUCCUCGUAACUAGCGCUCAUUUAACCUAUUUAUACAGGUGAUACCCUAGCCAUUGUUAAGGUGUAUGUUAUAGCUGUAAUAGUCCCGGAGACCGCACUUAUCCUUCCAACUAAUGCUGGAGCGAAAAUUCUUGGUGAUGUAUUCGAUGGAGAUAAUAUCGAGUAGAUUUACCAGAAUUUGGUUCGUCGCCCGUGAUUGCAUAUUCCAUGAUUCUGCACUCGACGAGCUGGGUCAUCCAUAGUUGUAUUUAUGAGUUGCCCUUAAGAUCUUACUUACGUAUGAUAUCAGAUUUAUCUAUGUACGUAUUACCUUUUGGUUUUGCGUAUCGUUAUUUAGUAGGUUGUUAUGUUGGUGUACGGAUUAGUGUUUUCUUGGGAUGUUUUGUUAGCACCGUUGACGACUAAUAUUUUAUUUUUGACUGGAUUAUGAACAUCGUUGUAUUGAUGACCAUGUGUAGUAUUACCAUGGAUUUGGAAACAAUUAUAAUAAGAUUAAGUUUUAA